CGCCCUUAGAGUUUGAUCAUGGCUCAGAUUGAACGCUGGCGGCAUGCCUUACACAUGCAAGUCGAACGGUAACGGGUUAAGCCGACGAGUGGCGAACGGGUGAGUAAUAUAUCGGAACGUGCCCAAUCGUGGGGGAUAACGCAGCGAAAGUUGUGCUAAUACCGCAUAAGAUCUACGGAUGAAAGCGGGGGAUCGCAAGACCUCGCGCGAGUGGAGCGGCCGAUAUCAGAUUAGCUAGUUGGUGAGGUAAAGGCUCACCAAGGCGACGAUCUGUAGCUGGUCUGAGAGGACGACCAGCCACACUGGGACUGAGACACGGCCCAGACUCCUACGGGAGGCAGCAGUGGGGAAUUUUGGACAAUGGGCGCAAGCCUGAUCCAGCAAUGCCGCGUGCAGGAUGAAGGCCUUCGGGUUGUAAACUGCUUUUGUACGGAGCGAAAAGGUCUGCCCUAAUACGGUGGGCUCAUGACGGUACCGUAAGAAUAAGCACCGGCUAACUACGUGCCAGCAGCCGCGGUAAUACGUAGGGUGCAAGCGUUAAUCGGAAUUACUGGGCGUAAAGCGUGCGCAGGCGGUUAUAUAAGACAGAUGUGAAAUCCCCGGGCUCAACCUGGGCACUGCAUUUGUGACUGUAUAGCUAGAGUACGGUAGAGGGGGAUGGAAUUCCGCGUGUAGCAGUGAAAUGCGUAGAUAUGCGGAGGAACACCGAUGGCGA
rnacentral:rRNA from 1 species